ACCGCGAGAAAGCGUGGCCUUUAAAAAUCUCGCACCAGCAGCGCCUCUGCAGAGCAGCACGCGAAGCCCGGGACCACUUUGAAAAGUAACAAGCGAAAAAAACCACCACGUCGUGUCUGGUGCUCACCGGAUAACUUAUUUGUUCUGUGUGAGGUAAAACUUCGGAAAUUGCUACAGCCGUCAACCAAGCCACACUAUUUCUGGAAUACUAUAUUCAAAUUGCUGCCGGAACGUGAAGUGCUUCAGUUAUGAUGGUAUUUGGGUUCAAAUCGUCGCAAGCUCAAUUACAUGGAUCAUUGGGAGAAAUUGACAUUGCAGCUGCAACAUAAAUUCGAUCUAUGCGACAAUAGAGAUCAUCAAAUUCGAAUUGGUUCAAUGAAAUCUCGUGAUGCCAGCAACAUGGUCAAAUCCGCCCACAUUUCAUGUAAUAUAAAAAAUUUUGAAAUAUGUGAGAUACA